rnacentral:lncRNA from 1 species
AUGUUAGCCAGGAAGGCAGCACACAUACAUUUGGAAAGGUAUAUCAAGGAUUCAACAUUCAACCAAGCCACAGCUCAACGUAUCUGCAAAUUCGCAGGGAGCCUCUGCUUGGUUCUGAACCCCCUCAGCACCCUGCAUUCAGUUGGACUGAUGGCUCUGCUGUUUGUGGGAGCUGCAGUGAGAAACUCCUGGGCGAGAGGCAGCAUCGUGUACGUCUGUGUUGGUAUGGCUGGCAUAAUGGGGAUUCACUCACACCGGUAUCCAAGAGCAGCGAAGUGCCUCCAGGGUCAGCCCGAUUCCAGGUAACACAAUGGUAACGCGAGCUCCUUUGGCUCCAGCAGGAGGCUCAUUACGAAGAGUGAAGGAUGGAGCCCAUGUAAAUUUAGCGUCACCUCUUGGGAAAUGAAGAGCACAAAGAGAAGGGAAAUGCCGUGGAUCAUCUCUCCCUGUCGAAUAAAUCCAGUCGGUGGCACCGAUCCCA